rnacentral:rRNA from 1 species
GACUCCUACGGGAGGCAGCAGUGGGGAAUAUUGCACAAUGGGCGAAAGCCUGAUGCAGCGACGCCGCGUGAGGGAUGACGGCCUUCGGGUUGUAAACCUCUUUCAGCAGGGAAGAAGCGAAAGUGACGGUACCUGCAGAAGAAGCGCCGGCUAACUACGUGCCAGCAGCCGCGGUAAUACGUAGGGUGCGAGCGUUGUCCGGAAUUAUUGGGCGUAAAGAGCUCGUAGGCGGUUUGUCGCGUCGAUUGUGAAAGCCCGGGGCUUAACCCCGGGUCUGCAGUCGAUACGGGCAGGCUAGAGUUCGGCAGGGGAGACUGGAAUUCCUGGUGUAGCGGUGAAAUGCGCAGAUAUCAGGAGGAACACCGGUGGCGAAGGCGGAUCUCUGGGCCGAUACUGACGCUGAGGAGCGAAAGCGUGGGGAGCGAACAGGAUUAGAUACCCUGGUAGUCCACGCCGUAAACGGUGGGCACUAGGUGUGGGCAACAUUCCACGUUGUCCGUGCCGCAGCUAACGCAUUAAGUGCCCCGCCUGGGGAGUACGGCCGCAAGGCUAAAACUCAAAGGAAUUGACGGGGGCCCGCACAAGCGGCGGAGCAUGUGGCUUAAUUCGACGCAACGCGAAGAACCUUACCAAGGCUUGACAUACAUCGGAAACGGCCAGAGAUGGUCGCCCCCUUGUGGUCGGUGUACAGGUGGUGCAUGGCUGUCGUCAGCUCGUGUCGUGA